CUCGGCGCCUUCGCGGCAUCGGGCAGACAAAACGCACCGAGGACGCGGAGGGGGAA
rnacentral:misc_RNA from 1 species